UCUCUCUUGUCCCUCUUUUCUCUCUCUUAGUACGCUUAGAGAUCUUGGUUUAAGAUCCUAUCAUCCUUUGUUCGGAUCCAAGUUGACCCUGGGUGAAGGCCCUGAACCACCCUAGUACUCGGAUGGUAGGCCGGCCCGUUACCUCGGUGUUGUCAGAUCUCUUUGGAAUUUGGUCAUCAUUGACCUUCAUUGAGUCACUUAAAUUAUGUCUGAUCUUGAUCAGCUCAAUUCAACUUGUUUAGACCGACCUAUGCAGUCGGAUACCGCUACCUGAUCAUUGCUUUUCAUCCAUCUUGAUUCAGGCAUGAGGUCGUAUCCCCAAUAAUAUCUUUAUUUUUUGACUUUGUUUGGC
rnacentral:lncRNA from 1 species